UAGUGCAUGUAAAAAGUGAUUGAAUUAUAAAAUAACCUAUAAUCAGGAAUAUUAAAUUGAAGAGUUGCCCACUCCUUUUUGGAGACUAAAAAAAAUUGUGUUCAUCACUUGCAUCACCUUGUUGCUGUGAUGUCACUUCCUGUAUGUUUGCAGUGAAGCCCCGGGCAGUGCUGCUGUGCUGCUCCUCUCUCUCCAGCACAGGCACGUGAAGAUGGCUGGAGUUUUUAUCGUGUUCACGGCAUUGCUGCUGUGUCUCCCAGAUUUCUCAGAUGGUAUCAACAUUGUCCAGUCCCCUCCUUCUCUGUUUGUGAGUCCUGGACACUCUGCUGAACUCCAGUGCUAUCACGGUGAUAGCAGCUAUACCCGCAUGUACUGGUACCAGCAAACCAGGAAAGGAGCUUUGGAGCUGAUUGGAUAUGAGUAUGGCACAAUAUACCCUGAAGAAAAGUUUAAAGAAAGAUUCAGAAUGACUGGAAAAGCAACAGAGAAGGGCUUUUUAACCAUCUCCAGUGUAACAGCUGAAGACAGUGCUGUGUACUUCUGUGCAGCCAGCAUACACAGUGCUGCAGAUCACCUCUCUCCUCUACAAUAACCCUGUCUAGCCACAACCUCCCCUGUGCUUUCAUGAGAACA